rnacentral:rRNA from 1 species
GGUUGACCGAGUGGCGAACGGGUGAGUAAUACAUAAGCAACCUGCCCACGAAGACCGGGAUAAUCUCUGGAAACGGGGACUAAAACCGGAUAGGCAGCAAUGAGGCAUCUCAAUGCUGUUAAAGGUGAGGGACACUGGUGGAUGGGCUUAUGGCGCAUUAGUUAGUUGGUGAGGUAACGGCCCACCAAGACGAUGAUGCGUAGCCGGCCUGAGAGGGUGAACGGCCACAUUGGGACUGAGACACGGCCCAGACUCCUACGGGAGGCAGCAGUAGGGAAUUUUCGGCAAUGGGGGGAACCCUGACCGAGCAACGCCGCGUGAGUGAAGAAGGUCUUCGGAUUGUAAAGCUCUGUUGUAAGGGAAGAACGUCAGGCAGAAGAUGCCUGAGUGACGGUACCUUACCAGAAAGCCACGGCUAACUACGUGCCAGCAGCCGCGGUAAUACGUAGGUGGCGAGCGUUAUCCGGAAUUAUUGGGCGUAAAGGGUGCGUAGGCGGCUGAUUAAGUUCGUGGUUAAAGCGUGGGGCUCAACCCCAUAAAGCCACGGAUACUGGUCAGCUAGAGUACUGGAGAGGGCAGUGGAAUUCCAUGUGUAGCGGUAAAAUGCGUAGAUAUAUGGAGGAACACCGGUGGCGAAGGCGGCUGCCUGGACAGAGACUGACGCUGAGGCACGAAAGCGUGGGGAGCAAAUAGGAUUAGAUACCCUAGUAGUCCACGCCGUAAACGAUGAAUGCUUGGUAUCGGGGCAACCCGGUGCCGAAACUAACGCGCUAAGCAUUCCGCCUGUGGAGUAUGCACGC